CUGCAGAGGUGCCUUUUGUCUGGCAAGGGGAGCACAGGUGGGGGAUGGGGCUGGCCCCAGCCAGGACAUUGUCUGUGUCACUCAGCAGCAGACUGACUGGCGCCUGCUGCCUGGCCAGCAAUGCUGACCCCUCUGCCUGCCCUAGCCAAUAUUUGAGGUCAGGAGGCAAGUACAGCAUCUGUGGGCAGACGACAGGGCCAAUGGGGUUCUCCUCCAGGCCUUCUGCUGCCACUCUGCUUCCUGAAGCCAGGAGGCCCAGUUCAGGUGCUCCGCCAGGGCUCCCGUGGUCCUGCCUGCAGGGGCGAGGUAGCAGGACCCCCUUGUUUAGCCUCUGCUGCAUCCUUAGCUGCAGCAGGGAGCCUGCCAGGCAGGUGUGCGACAGGCAGGACAGCGAUGUCUUCCUGCAUGACAGAAGGGGAAACUGAGGCCCAGAGUGAUGCAGCCCGGGACCUCCCAGGACAAGGUCCAAGCUCUUACCUCAGAUACAAACUCAUCUGGAAGCAUUAAAACAAUGGAAGCAGGUGAGAGCAGAGAGAUCCCGAGCGCAGGUGAGGUGGGGUCCCUGAGGCGGGCUCAAAAGCUGCUUCCCAAGGCAGGGGGGCCCCUAUGUGCCCUCUGAGAGCACAGCCUGCAGACAGAGUCCAGACGUCUCAGGCAGGCCUUUGAGGCCUUCGUGUCAAAGCCCAGUUCUACCACAUCCUAGGGUUAUACUUUCGGCCUGGUGGGAGUCGCUGGUCCCCAGUUGACAGUGUCAUUGGGAAAGUCCAGUGGUAGACCCCGGCACAGCAGGCGCUCAGCAGUGCAGCAGUAUCAUUGCUUAGCCCCACCUCCCUUUCCAGACUCUGCACCCCUCCUCAGGCUCAGAGCAAGGGCCUGCCCCUGCCCCUCCACCGCCCCCUCCUCACUUACCCCUGCGACUCUGCCCAAGCAAGACCUCCCCCUGGAAUUCAUUCAUUUAUCAACUCAUUAUGCAGCCAGCCAGCCAUCGUUUCUUUUUUAUCCACUUUUUCUGAGGGCCUGCUGUGCGCCAGCUGCUGGAGACAUGAAGACAUCGAAGACCCCAGGCCUUGACCUCCAAGAGCCCCCAGUUUGGUGGAAGAAACAAACAAGGAGACUGCAAAACACACCCUGUGAUGGGGAGGGUUGAGGUGGCCAGUGGGAGAGGCGAGCUGGCAGGGCUCAGUGGUGAGGUGAAGGUGUGGGAGCAGGGACACAGCAUGAAGGAGUAGAUGGCCAGGUUGAGCUUUGCAGGCUCCAGGGGGAGGAUAAAGAGCUGACACCUGGAACGUGCUUGGAACAGCAGGUGCUCGGUCAGUGCAGCCACGACCAUCCCGUCCUGCAUCCCCACCAUGAACUUGGACCUUCUGGAAGGACCUUGCUUAUCCCAGCAUCCACACAUCCUUGACCAGACCUGGUCAACAUUUGCUUAGAACCGCCUGGCUGCUGGGAUGAGAAGAGACUGGAGAGAGACCACGAUGGAAGCCAGGAGGCCAACGAGGAGUUGGGGUAGUCCUCCAGGGAGACAUGAUGUGGCUUCAGCCCCAGUGGUGAUGGCGGGGUAGAGCCAGCAGGGUUCUGAACUGAGUGGAUGUGAAAUGAGGGAAAGAGGGAUGCUGCGGUCGGCAGAAUCGUGCCUCCCGCAAAGAUGCCCCAUCCUAACCCGUCACCCUUGACAGUGAGACCUCCACCACAAAGGGGACUUUGCAGGCAUGAAGGUUAAGGACCCUGAGAGGAGGAGAUGGCCCUGGACUGUCUGGCGGGCCCAGCAUCAUCACAAGGGUGCUUAUAAGUGGAGGAGGAGGCAGGGGGAGCCGAGCAGAUGUGAGGAUAGAAGCAGAGGUCGGAGGGACGUGCUGUUGGCUUGAGAUGGAGGAGGACCUAUGAGCCAAGGAGCAUGGGCGGCCUCUGGAAGCCAGAAAGGGCAAGGCCUCUUCCCGGAGCCUCCAGCAGAACCCAGCCCCGCUGCCACCUCGACUGCAGAACGGUGACACCGUGUCCGAUUCCCGACCUCCAGAACCGUGAGAUAACACGUGUGCUGUUUUAAGCCACUGCAAUUGUGGUAUUUGUCACAGCAGCCAUAGGAAACUGUACGGGGGUUAAAGAGGACCUGCUGACCUCUGAGCUCACACUGAAGCCUCCUGGAAUGCUGUGGGUUGUGAGCUGGGAUGAGAACGCAGCAUGGAGAUGAAAGACGCAUCCACCCAGGAAGGCCCACUGGCAUCGCAAUCUCAGGGAAGAUUCCCAGGCUGAAAAAAGAGAAAGUGGCUGGGGUGGCACUGAAUGCCCCACGUCAAAGAAAUGGCACCCAAGCCGUCCGUCAGUCCCUCACCUGCCACACAGACAGCACCUUGGACCCAGCAAGAUGUCACUCACCACAUUGAUGCUGUCCACAGGCAUCGCCUUGCUUUUGCAGCUCUGUGUGAGAUUUGUCAGCUUGGUUUGGGUCUGGGGCUGUAUUAGAGCUGUCAGCCUAGGAGCCUACCCUAGUUUUGUGUCUGCACUAUUUCCAAAGCACUGGAAUAAAAGGCAUUUUAACCAA
rnacentral:lncRNA from 1 species